AUUGUUAGGUCUUGAUCAGGAAUUUUAAAGAAUGGUUUCCCAUUUUUUAUGGCAAUGAGUAGAUGCUUACUUAUAAUGCACAAGUCUCUACUCAUCUAUUUUCUUUUUCUCUAAAGAAUUAUCUAAAUUAAUGCUUGGCAUGGGACUUAUGUACAGGUGAAGUGAAUAUGAAAACAAAGGUUCAUACUUGCUCAUCUAUAAAAGUAGGUGCUAAAAUAUUUUGUUUGCCAAUGUAGCAUUUUUCAGUCAUUAAAUUCCUCUAGUUACAAGUCAUAGCCAGUUUGGUUCUUAGAAGUGAGAGU
rnacentral:misc_RNA from 1 species